CGAAGCGCAUGUGGUGGAUGCCUUGGCGAUGACAGGCGAAGAAGGACGUGGCAGCCUGCGAUAAGCUGCGGGGAGCUGGCAGACGAGCGUUGAUCCGCAGAUGUCCGAAUGGGGAAACCCGGCCCGUUGAGGGUCACGGCGAGCCGAAUUCAUAGGCUUGCGCGAGCGAACCCGCUGAACUGAAACAUCUCAGUAGGCGGAGGAAGAGAAAUCAACCGAGAUUCCGAAAGUAGUGGCGAGCGAAAUCGGAGGAGCCUGCACGUCUUUAGCCGCUCGGCUUAGCAGAACGCUCUGGAAAGGCCGGCCGCAGUGGGUGAGAGCCCCGUAUGCGAAAAGCGGGCGGUGGAACUAGGCGCUGCGACAAGUAGGGCGGGACACGUGAAAUCCUGUCUGAAGAUGGGGGGACCAUCCUCCAAGGCUAAAUACUCGUCAUCGACCGAUAGCGAACCAGUACCGUGAGGGAAAGGCGAAAAGAACCCCGGGAGGGGAGUGAAACAGAUCCUGAAACCGCAUGCGUACAAACAGUGGGAGCCCCAGCUUAAAGAGCCUUCGGGGUUCUUUCGGCGAGCGCGAAGCGCGAGCCAAAAGAGCUCAAGAAGAAACAGAUCUGAAGCGUGUUCAUCGGGGUUCUUUCGGCGAGCGCGAAGCGCGAGCCAAAAGAGCUCGAGAAGAAACAGAUCUGAAGCGUGUGUUGGGUGGGUGACUAGCGGGUUUGAGCGAAACGAAGUGGAGCUCGAAGCGGCUAGGCGGCACAGCGCAAAGAGCCCGUUGAGGGUUCUUUGAGCUGGGGUGACUGCGUACCUUUUGUAUAAUGGGUCAGCGAGUUACAUUCCGUGGCGAGGUUAACCUUUUAGGGGAGCCGCAGCGAAAGCGAGUCUUAACGGGGCGAGCAAGUCGCGGGGUGUAGACCCGAAACCGGAUGAUCUACCCAUGGCCAGGCUGAAGGUGGGGUAAUGCCCACUGGAGGGCCGAACCCACUACUGUUGAAAAAGUAGGGGAUGAGCGGUGGGUAGGGGUGAAAGGCCAAACAAAUCCGGAAAUAGCUGGUUCUCUCCGAAAGCUAUUUAGGUAGUGCCUCGUGUGGUCACCCUCGGGGGUAGAGCACUGUUAUGGCUAGGGGGCGAGCGUUCGCUUACCAAACCAUGGCAAACUCCGAAUACCGAGGAGUGGGGAGCACGGGAGACAGACGCCGGGUGCUAACGUCCGGUGUCGAGAGGGAGACAACCCAGACCCGCAGCUAAGGUCCCCAAUGCAUGGCUCAGUGGUGAACGAGGUGGGAGGGCUUAGACAGCCAGGAGGUUGGCUUAGAAGCAGCCACCCUUUAAAGAAAGCGUAAUAGCUCACUGGUCGAGUCUUCUCGCGCGGAAGAUGUAACGGGGCUAAGCCAUGAACCGAAGCUCGGGGUGCGUGCGCGAGCACGUGCGGUAGGAGAGCGUUCCGUAGGCCGGUGAAGGGGCUUCGAGAGGGGUCCUGGAGGUAUCGGAAGUGCGAAUGCUGACAUGAGUAGCGAUAAAGCGGGUGAAAAGCCCGCUCGCCGUAAGCCCAAGGUUUCCUGCGCAACGUUCAUCGGCGCAGGGUGAGUCGGCCCCUAAGGCGAGGGCGAGAGCCGUAGCUGAUGGGAAAGAGGUCAAUAUUCCUCUACCGGGGCCAGGGGCGAAGGGGGGACGAAGAAGGCUAGAGCGGCCGGGGGUUGGAUGUCCCGGUGAAAGCGCGUAGGCGGGCUCCGUAGGCAAAUCCGCGGGGCCGUGAACGCUGAGGCGUGAUGACGCAAGCCCCCCUCGGGGGGCCCAAGUGCUUGAGGCCCGGCUUCCAGGAAAAGCCUCUAAGCGUUAACUCUGGUUCCGACCGUACCGUAAACCGACACAGGUGGGCGAGCUGAACAUGCUCAGGCGCUUGAGAGAACUCGGGUGAAGGAACUCGGCAAAUUGACACCGUAACUUCGGGAGAAGGUGUGCCCCUGGUACGUGAAGUGGCUAGCCCAUGGAGCGGAAGGGGGUCGCAGAGAAUCGGGGGCCGCGACUGUUUAAUAAAAACACAGCACUCUGCCAACACGAAAGUGGACGUAUAGGGUGUGACGCCUGCCCGGUGCCGGAAGGUUAAGUGAUGGGGUGUUGAGCCCCGGAUCGAAGCCCCGGUAAACGGCGGCCGUAACUAUAACGGUCCUAAGGUAGCGAAAUUCCUUGUCGGGUAAGUUCCGACCUGCACGAAUGGCGUAACGAUGGCCCCGCUGUCUCCACUCGAGACUCAGCGAAGUUGAAGUGGUUGUGAUGAUGCAAUCUACCCGCGGCUAGACGGAAAGACCCCGUGCACCUUUACUGCAGCUUUGCAUGGGACUGUGAUGGGAUCUGUGUAGGAUAGGUGGGAGGCUGUGAGGCCGGGUCGCCAGAUUCGGCGGAGCCGACGUUGAAAUACCACCCUGAUGUCAUUGCGGUUCUAACCCAGGCCCUUGGACGGGGUCGGGGACAGUGCAUGGUGGGCAGUUUGACUGGGGCGGUCUCCUCCUAAAGGGUAACGGAGGAGCCCGAAGGUUCGCUUAGCACGGUCGGAAAUCGUGCGCAAAGUGCAAUGGCACAAGCGAGCUUGACUGCGAGACAGACACGUCGAGCAGGUGCGAAAGCAGGGCAUAGUGAUCCGGUGGUUCUGGAUGGAAGGGCCAUCGCUCAACGGAUAAAAGGUACGCCGGGGAUAACAGGCUGAUCUCCCCCAAGAGUUCACAUCGACGGGGAGGUUUGGCACCUCGAUGUCGGCUCAUCUCAUCCUGGGGCUGUAGCCGGUCCCAAGGGUAUGGCUGUUCGCCAUUUAAAGAGGUACGUGAGCUGGGUUUAAAACGUCGUGAGACAGUUUGGUCCCUAUCUACCGUGGGCGUUGGAGGUUUGCGGGGGGCUGCUCCUAGUACGAGAGGACCGGAGUGGACGUACCGCUGGUGGACCGGUUGUGACGCCAGUCGCAUCGCCGGGUAGCUAAGUACGGAAGCGAUAACCGCUGAAGGCAUCUAAGCGGGAAGCGCGCCCCAAGAUGAGACCUCCCGCAGGGUCAACCUGCCUGAAGGGUCGGGAGAGACCAUCCCGUGGAUAGGCCGGGUGUGCAAGGGGGGCAACCCCUUGAGCUAACCGGUACUAAUGGCCCGUGCGGCUUGAUCC
rnacentral:rRNA from 1 species